GAAGGAAUGGGGGAGCGAGUUUUCGGGAUAAAGAGGAGGGUUCACGAGAGUGAAUUGAUACAUAAAUUGAAUGUCGCACAAGGAGGUGUGGAUUUUCUGUACAGCUUCCGUGAAUUAAGUCGUUCACAGGAAUUGUGAACUCAACUCUUGAAUGGAGGCCAGGAACAAUAGGUGGAGACCACUUACCAUCCUCAAAAAGGACAGUAAUGGAGUUUCGAAAAGCAUCAUUAAAAAGAAAAAAGGUAAUGCUUUGGACAAGAAGCACUCGUAUAUAAUAGCGUUUUAACUUCUUUUCGACUACAGGAGACGAGGUACGAGAUAAUGAAGAGCGUCCUUUCAUAUCACAAUCAUUACUCAAACGUGGUAACCGAUCUUGAAAGAUAAAUUGAGAAUCUUGGGAGUUAAUAGCAAUGGGAUCUAUAUGGGGAUCAUCUGUUCCAGCAGAACCUGGGGUAGAUGACAGUACAUCUGCAUCUUCGGACUCCAAAUCAAUUAAAAGUGGGCAAACACAGCCUGGUCCUUUAUAGCACUGUUGAGGAUAUUUAAAGAACGCAGUUAGAAAUGAAUACUUUGAAGACUUCAUUGAUAGCGAAGUAAAACACGCAUCGUUUAGGGGCGCUCCAUAACGUAUGUGCUGAGAUUCAGGAAUUCGAUCGGGAUUGAGAGUAAAAGGUACAACUACAGGAACAUUGGCUGACUUUGGCAUACGACAAUCAUCUUCAGUAUACAAUUUAACCGUUAAUUUGUAAGAAAUCGAACCUUCUUGAGUCACAAUCGUUCGUGGGGUGCACCUAGGAAGUGGAGCAAUGAUAUCAAACGUAUAGAAAACUCCUUCCUUUACUUUGAAAUUAUUUCCAAGAUCCCAGUCGAUAUGAUUGAAAUGACACUCCAGCGGUAACUGUCUCUCAG